AUUGAACGCUGGCGGAAUGCUUUACACAUGCAAGUCGAACGGCAGCACGGGGGCAACCCUGGUGGCGAGUGGCGAACGGGUGAGUAAUACAUCGGAACAUGCCCAGUCGUGGGGGAUAACGUAGCGAAAGUUACGCUAAUACCGCAUACGAUCCAAGGAUGAAAGCGGGGGACCGCAAGGCCUCGCGCGAUUGGAGUGGCCGAUGUCAGAUUAGGUAGUUGGUGGGGUAAAGGCUCACCAAGCCGACGAUCUGUAGCUGGUCUGAGAGGACGACCAGCCACACUGGAACAGAGGCACGGUCCAGACUCCUUCGGGAGGCAGCAGUGGGGAAUUUUGGACAAUGGGCGCAAGCCUGAUCCAGCCAUUCCGCGUGCAGGAUGAAGGCCUUCGGGUUGUAAACUGCUUUUGUACGGAACGAAACGGCCUGCUCUAAUACAGCGGGCUAAUGACGGUACCGUAAGAAUAAGCACCGGCUAACUACGUGCCAGCCGCCGCGGUAAAAC
rnacentral:rRNA from 1 species